rnacentral:tRNA from 1 species
GCCGAAGUGGUGGAAAUGGCAGACACGCAAGAUUCAGGUUCUUGUGGGGGCAACUUCGUGGGGGUUCGACUCCCCCCUUCGGCA